GUACCUGCAGCCUCCGCCAAAAAAUUCCGGGUGAAAGGUAGCAAGAGGGUGUUCGGCGUCGUGUCGCUGCUCUGAAGUGGUGGCUUGGUUGGAGGUUUGCCACCUUGCGACUCAGUUCUACACUGGCACGCUUAGGACCCACAACGCCGGUCUACAAGUCAAGAUGCUGAACAUACCGGGCCUUGCGGGCAUCAUCGUCUUCUACCUGCUCAUCCUUGGGAUCGGCAUCUAUGCAGCAUGGAGGCGACGCAACAAGGGAGGCAAGUCCGAGGAGGUUAUGCUCGCAGGACGCUCCAUUGGGCCUCUGGUCGGCAUCCUGACCAUGACGGCUACAUGGGUGGGAGGAGGAUACAUCAACGGCACGGCAGAGAAGGUGUACGACAAGGGCCUCAUCUGGUGCCAGGCGCCCUUUGGCUAUGCUCUGUCACUCGCUGUGGGCGGCAUGUUCUUCGCCAAGCCGAUGCGGGAGGCGGGAUACGUCACCAUGCUGGAUCCGCUGCAGCAGGCCUUCGGGCGGCGCAUGGGCGGCAUGCUUUACUUCCCGGCGCUGAUGGGUGAAACGUUCUGGUCGGCGGCUAUCCUAUCUGCCCUCGGCUCCACCUUGGCAGUCAUCCUGGACAUUGGCAAUACUGUGUCAAUCCUCGUCAGUGCUGCCAUCGCUGUUUUCUACACCAUAUUUGGCGGACUCUACUCCGUCGCUUACACGGACGUGAUUCAGCUCUUCUGCAUCUUCAUCGGUCUGUGGAUCACCGUGCCUUUCGCCAUGGUGCAUGAGUCGGUGGGGUCCCUUGCACUCAAUGAGACCAACUGGCUGGGGUCCAUCGAGCCCACCUCACCCGAGUGGGGCCUCUGGAUCGACUACUGGCUCCUGCUCAUCUGUGGCGGCAUCCCCUGGCAGGUGUACUUCCAGAGAGUGCUGUCGUGCCAGACCCCGACCCACGCCAGGGUACUCUCCUACACGGCGUCUGUCGGCUGCCUCCUGAGCGCCGUGCCAGCGUGCAUCAUCGGUGCUAUUGCCAAGGCCACAGAUUGGAGCCAGACGGACUACGGCAAGACCCCCGAGGGCUACCAGGUGAAGCUGGUUCUGCCCCUCGUGAUGCAGUAUCUCACGCCCACGUGGGUGGCCUUCCUGGGGCUGGGGGCCGUGAGUGCCGCGGUCAUGUCCUCUGCUGACUCCUCUGUCCUCUCCGCCUCGUCCAUGUUUGCAAGGAACAUAUACCAGAACGUCUUCAAGCAGGAGGCCACUGACCGGGAGGUGAUCUGGGUGAUGCGAGCCAGCAUCGUGGUGGUGGCCGCCAUCGCCUGCACCAUCGGCAUCCUCAUCAACAGCAUUUACUAUCUCUUCCUUGUCUUGCCUCGUACAGUAUGGAUGUCCCGGGCAGCGGCGGGCACCGGGCCGGUCAGGCUACAUCCAAGAUCACCGACCCUCAAGCUCCCGGCUAAGCCUUGCAGGCGCUCUUGUCCCCCGGGGUUAAAUUGUGCGGGGAUCUGGUGUACGUGAUCCUCUUCCCGCAACUUCUCAUGGUGGUGCACUUCCGGGACCGCGUCAACACGUACGGCUCCUUCGUGGCCUUCUGCCUCGGGCUGAUCGUGCGUCUCUUAGGAGGAGAGCCGUACAUCGGGGUGCCGGCCACUAUCCAAUACCCAUUCUACGACGAGGAAACGGGCCAGCAGAACUUCCCCUUCCGCACAAUAGCAAUGCUGGUGUCGCUGUUCAGCCUCAUCGUCUCCUCGGCCAUCGCCAAGGCCAUUUUCACCCACAAGAUCUUGCCCCCCAAGUUUGACGUGUGCAGAUGUUUCCACCGGGCUGAAAACGACGAGCUGGGAACGGCCAAUCUAAACAAAACUCUCCCACUGGCAAUGUCGAAGACCAAGGAGGAUGUUUCUCCUCUCAAGGCAGCAGAGAGCAACCUGUACAUGCCCGUCAAUGGGACGAUGAACGGCGUCUAGGUGGGCGAUGUGUUUCCAAUAUUGGGUAGGGAGACGCUGAGGUGUCGCCGCGUGGGCUGCUAGGGCGCGACGCUUCUCCAGGGAGAGGCUGUUCAUGUGCCCCGGCUGUCGUUAAUGUCACUACUGAUGAAGAGCAGGGUCUAGACACGAGUUCAGGAGCGGUUUUAUACCACAGCCGCAUGUAAUAUUCCUUAAGCAGGCUUUUCUUGUCCACAGAAGAGUUAUCAUUCAGAGUACAACGUUGUGUAAUGCUUGGAGCGCGCACAAACUGAGGUUCGUGCAUGGUGUACUGUACCUUGAUAUACGUAAUAGGGAUUGUCUACCGAGCUGCAGAGCGCUGGUUUGUGUUGACAAGAGGGCAAUGGCAAUGGGCAACAAAAUACGUGAAACAAGGCCCAAUGAAGUUUCCAUUUUCCGAAGAGGAUAGUUCAGAGGAAUAUCCAAAAUCACGAAACGGAAGCUAAUGGGUAAUAUUAGGUGGGUGCCUCGUAAUUUCAUGAUGUGAUUUUUGAUACAUAAUGUCUAUUUUUUCAUGUCGUUGGUCUAGCACUGUUCGUCAGUUUUGUUGCAACUCCUUUUCUUAUUUUUUGUUAUUUAUCAUAAGAAUUAAAGGAGUUGUAAUUGUUAGGUGCAUGUUGAAACUUCCUCGUAGGGAAGGGUAAGAUAAAACAACAACACACACUACUGUUUUCCUGAACUCGUGCAGAGGCACAACAUACAUAUCUAAGAUUAGAAUCAGAAGUAGCGACAUAAGGGAUCAAUCUGUAAUUCUCGCUCUGAGUGUCGUGUAUGCGUGGUAGUGGUGAGCGGGGUGACUGGCCCUCGGUGUUCCGGUAUGCUGGGCCAGAUAAGAGUGUACUUGACAGUAUUUCAUAACGUAGCUUAUUUUGAGGAUGUCCACGUCACAACUUCUCACUUUUACAUACUUCUCAUUCAUUAGCUUUUGUUUUUUGGUGACAAUUAAUUAUUUGACUGCUAAGGCUUCCCAAGCUAAACAAAGUUGAUCUGGUUCAAAUUUCAUGAGAUCAUUAAGUAAUUCAAAUAUUCUAAUACUGGCUGAUAUUUUUGCCCAGUAGAAUCGUAUGCUGCCAUUUAAAUGGAGUAAUAAGUGUCACUCUGCCAUUAGGAGUCAAAGAAUUAAAGAAUAAUGGAUGUCCUUCAGUUUCUAGAAAGAGAGUGAGUGAUGAACGUGUUUGGUGUUUGUAGCGGCUGUCUCUCUGUGCCGCGGUCGACGCAGCGAAACGUGCAUGAUAGUGGGCUCUGUGUAACAUUAGCGAAGAUUUUUUUUUUUGUGAAGCAAGCAAGGAGGCUGUUUUUAUAGACACGUAGUGCAUGUCCCAUUCCAUGAUGGAGAAGCACCGUGGUCAUUAUAAUCAGUCGACGAAUAUUAUAUAGAGUUUACGAAAAUGCAUUUUUUAAUUAGGCAGAAUCAAUGACGAUAGAAUCUUAUGAAAUUAAUACAGCUCAUAAGUAAAGUACUAAAAAUAAAGUGAAAGGAUAAACCUAGAUUUAUCAUCGGGAUUGUAAUAAUUACUGUCAACUGCAUUUUCAUCACAGCAAAAUCUUUACGAUUAACGGUCUCUCUUCUGAUGCAGAGAGUUGUAUAAAUUUUUGACAAAGGCCUAAUUGAAUUCGCCUUGGAAACGAUGGUGACAAUUACAACAUGGUGACAGUUACCACAUUCUCAUGCAAUGCGAGGGUUAAAAAAAAAAAAAGUUUCUCGACGCCUAAAGGAAAUAAGCUUCAUGGAUAAGACUGACACGUAAUCGACCGCGUGAGGUGUGCAUAAGACUCUUCCGAGGGGACUGUGAAGAGGUGGGUUGUGGGGAGUAUUAUUAGUGCAUUAAUUACUACAUUAUAAUAGUAAGUAUAGUAAGUGUGUCCGUGUCUCGUUCAUUUCGCUGCAUCUGGAGUGUCAAGUAUGAUGCUAUUUUUUUUUUCAAGUAGUCAUGACAUUUAGUUUCAUGCAUGUAGGUAAAUGUGCCUGAAAAAUGCAAAUAAGAUCUUCCCUACGGUUGAGGGUCAGAGAUAAAAUUGCAAGUUGUUAGCAGUAUUUACAUGUAUCUUUAAGUAAUAAACAUUAAACCUUU